GGGUGCGUAGCUCAGGGGAUAGAGCACCAGAUUCCGGUUCUGGGUGUCAGAGGUUCGAUUCCUCUCGUACUCG
rnacentral:tRNA from 1 species